AAUUGUCUUCAAAAUUAGAGGAAACACAACUAUCACAAAAAUCAAUUGUCUUCAAAAAUUCCCUAUUUGAAAAACUGUCUUAAAAGACCAACAACCACAAAUGUCUUAAUCAUUCCUACCUACCUCACCAUUAAUCUCCAUCACAAUAUACAUCACGUCUACUUCUUUUUCCAAUUCUGCCACAUCAAUGGCCAAGCCUUCUUCUUUCAACUCGUCCUCUUCUUCAUUCCCUGGUAUCUUCUUCUCUUUUUGUUCUUUCUCUUCUUCUCCAUUUGAUUUAUUUUCUUCAUUUUUCCUCUCUUCGAGCUUCUCCUAUUCACUUUCUUUUUCUUUCUUUUCUUCAAGCUUUUUUUUUCAUUGUUCUCUUCCAUCUUCUCCUCUUUUUUUCUAGUCAUCUUUUUCUUUCAUCUCCUCUUCCUUCAUAUCUUCUACAACUUCAUCAACUUUUUCAGCAAAGAAUAUUAAUCAACUGUAGUAACAUCAUCAUCGACGAUAUCUAAUAGAAAGAUGUUGUCAUCAACUGUUGGUGCUGAAAAGUUGUCAUCUACUGCAUGAUCAGUAGCUAAGCAUUAACACAAAUAAAUUAUUUCACAAAAAUAAUAUGUAAAUUUAUCUACCUUUCUUUUUUUUGUUCUUUUCAGUACUUCUCAAUUUCUCCUCUCGUACAUAAGCAACAAUUUUCACCAAUGAUUUCUCGAGGGAUGCAACACGCUCACAUGGAUUUUCAUCUUGAGAAGUACUUGGUACCAAAUUCUCACAAGGUUGAUUAGGAUUGUGAUCACCUAAACAAUCAUCCUCAAAAAUUUCUACUGUUCAAGUCUUGGUGCCACUAUUACAAAUGGUAAUACAACGUCGAGUCAGGACAAAGUAAAGGCAAUGAUUUUCCUCUGUCAUCAUCUGGAUGAAGCAUUGAAGGUUGAAUACCUUACGGUGAAAAAUUCACUUGAAUUGUGGACUGGUUUGAAGGAAAGGUAGGACCACCUUAAGGAAACGAUAUUGUCAAGGGCUCGUUAUGAAUGAAUUCACUUACAGUUACAUGAUUUUAAGACUGUAUGUGAAUAUAAUUAUGUUGUAUACAAAAUUACUUCCCAAUUGAAAUUAUGUGGGGAGGACAUAAAAGAUGAGGACAUGUUGGAAAAAACUCUCACAAGUUUUCAUGCCUCAGAUUUGAUAUUACAGCAACAAUACCGUUAAAGA